AUAACAAAAUGGCAAAAUUCUUUAUCACCACCAGUGUAUAUAUCUUAAUUCUUUUUGGCACCUUUCUCUCUGAAUAUUCACACUUCACUCUUAUACUGACUCCAUCUCAAAGAAUCAUCUUCACUAUCAUAGUCCUCAACUGGAUUCUCCAUUUCUGGAACAUCUUGUUGCUCAAAAGCUUCAUCUUCUUUUUCCUCAACAUGUUCAGAAUUCGCUUCUUCCUCCUGUUCUAAUCAAUAACGCUUCAAUGUAUGAAUUAGGAAAUUGGGGAAGAAAAACAUAUAAUGC
rnacentral:lncRNA from 1 species